UACGUAGGGUGCAAGCGUUGUCCGGAAUUAUUGGGCGUAAAGAGCUCGUAGGCGGUUUGUCGCGUCGGCUGUGAAAACUCGGGGCUCAACCCCGGAGCCUGCAGUCGAUACGGGCAGACUAGAGUGCUGUAGGGGAGACUGGAAUUCCUGGUGUAGCGGUGAAAUGCGCAGAUAUCAGGAGGAACACCGGUGGCGAAGGCGGGUCUCUGGGCAGUAACUGACGCUGAGGAGCGAAAGCGUGGGGAGCGAACAGG
rnacentral:rRNA from 1 species